ACGGAGGAUGCGAGCGUUAUCCGGAUUCAUUGGGUUUAAAGGGUGCGUAGGCGGACUAUUAAGUCAGUGGUGAAAUCCUGCAGCUUAACUGCAGAACUGCCAUUGAUACUGAUAGCCUUGAGUUUGGUUAAGGUAGGCGGAAUGUGUAAUGGUGCGGGGGAAUGGUUUGGUAUUACACAGGACCCCCAUUGGGGUAGGCACUUACUGGGCCGGACCUGGUGGUGGAGCCCCGAAGGGUGGGGAUCGAACAG
rnacentral:rRNA from 1 species